rnacentral:rRNA from 1 species
GACAGAGGGUGCAAACGUUGUUCGGAAUUACUGGGCGUAAAGCGCGUGUAGGCGGCUAAGUAAGUCGGGCGUGAAAUCCCACGGCUCAACCGUGGAAGUGCACUCGAAACUGCAUAGCUAGAGUCCUGGAGAGGAAGGUGGAAUGCUUGGUGUAGAGGUGAAAAUUCGUAGAUAUCAAGCGGAACACCGGUGGCGAAGGCGGCCUUCUGGACAGUGACUGACGCUGAGACGGCGAAAAGCGUGGGGGAG